rnacentral:lncRNA from 1 species
AGCAUAGCAACAGCAGCGUAGCUGAACAUCUUACGGAUGGCCCAGGGCUCCAAAGGCUCGUUUCCUAAGUGAGAGAGAGCCUGGCUGAAGCUGUAUUACCAUUCAUUCUCCAGCCUCCGAAGUCUCAAAGCAUCACUUCCACCAUACUCUAACUGUCAAGACAAACACAAAGGCCCAGAGCCUGUUCUGCUGGGACACAGAAUCACUUGCUCCAUCUCAUACAUUGAUGAUGAUUAAUUUGUAUGUGUACCUUCCAAAAAAGAUGGUUGUGUUUGAAUGGAGGCCUUCUGGACAGGAAAAUUGCAAAGUACAAUUAACAUUUGAGUCUGUCUGAGUCAUGAAGAAAUGGAGAUUACUGAAAAUAAUUCAUUUUGGUAUCUUCUUACAUCCUGAGAGACUAAUCUUUCCAAGUUCAUCUGAGGCUCCUCUUCUCCAUGACAACCUCAUCCAGGGAUUUCUUCCUGUCCUGGUGUUUUAUGACAUAAUCACAUCCUUCCUGAGAUAAUGAGCACACAAUUGCCUGGAUACCUGAAGGAAUGGAGACAGCGGCAGAAAACACUGCAGAGAGGUGGAAACAUCCGUUAAUAUUUUAAAAUCCCAUUACUGCUACCAACAAUAAUAAUGGAUGCAUAGAAAUAGAUCUGGAUUAGCUGAGCUUGAAACAGUCCAUCUCACACACACACAAAAGAAUUUCAGAUACAGUGAACCCACAUGUUGAAGCUUUCUAGUAUAAUAAAAAUUUCAACUGUUCUGUUGAAUCAUCUGCCUGAUUGGAGGCUACAGAAAAGAUGUCAUCUUAGGAGUGCUUGCUCUGAGUGAGGCUCAUCUUCAAAUCUGAAUGACCACAAGGAGAUUUGAUUAUACAUGUGAACACCUCAGAAGGCACAGCCCACCCAGAAGGCAGACAGGUCAGGCUGCUUUUUCUUCAUUGCUUGGAUUCAAUCCUCCGGGCGGCUCAGGCUCAAACAUAACUUAAGCAUGAUUAAACUUUAGAAGAAGCUGCCAGGAAGACUGUGAAAUCUUCAUGCCCAAGGAUCCCUAAAAUUAGGAGCAACAACCACUUGGCUCAGACGGUUUAUGGAGGCAAAGGUUUGGAUGGGAUUAGAGAUUUCUAAAUGUGAGUUCGUGUCCUCUGCCAGACCACCUUACUUCCACCAUUCCUCAGCAAAUCAAGAAAAACAGGAGAAAAGACAUGCCUUUCCAUAAGUUAAAUCUAUUCUGUUUUAAUUCUAUAUUAUAUCUGCUGUACAACUUCUUUUGUUUGUAACACCAUAUUGUUGCUAGUAACUGGAAAUUAAUUUUCACAUGCCUCAGCUUAGAAAAAUAAAAAGCAGCCCUGCAUCAAUCCCAA